rnacentral:ncRNA from 1 species
GGGGAUAUGGCGAAAUUGGUAGACGCUACGGACUUAAUUGGAUUGAGCCUUGGUAUGGAAACCCACUAAGUGAUAACUUUCAAAUUCAGAGAAACCCUGGAAUUAAUAAAAAGGGCAAUCCUGAGCCAAAUCCCGUUUUCCGAAACCAAAGGUUCAGAAAGUGAAAAAAAGGAUAGGUGCAGAGACUCAACGGAAGUUGUUCUAACAAAUGGAGUUGGCUGCGUUAGUAGAGAAAUCUUUCCAUCGAAAAUUCAAAAAGAAUGAAGUGAAGGAUAAACGUAUAUACAUACGUAUUGAAUACUAUAUCAAAUGAUUAAUGACGACCCGACUGAAUCUGUAUUUUUAUAUACGAAAAACGGAAGAAUUGGUGUGAAUAGAUUCCACAUUGAAGAAAGAAUCGAAUAUUCAUUGAUCAAAUGAUUCACUCCAUAGUCUGAUAGAUCUUUUCAAGAACUGAUUAAUCGGACGAGAAUAAAGAUAGAGUCCCGUUCUACAUGUCAAUGCCGGCAACAAUGAAAUUUAUAGUAAGAGGAAAAUCCGUCGACUUUAAAAAUCGUGAGGGUUCAAGUCCCUCUAUCCCCAA